ACUGUGUUUUUGUUAGUUGCCAAGUGUACGUGUUCUGGCUGGCUGGCGUGUUUCUGUGUUUGAGUAUUUGUGUGUAUGUGUGUGCGUGCGAGUGUGACGCAAAAUUAAAACGGAAGAAGAAUGAGGCGAGGCGAGGCGAGGCUAGGUGAUCGGAGACACAGACAGCAAGGCCAGCCAGAAAACCAGCUUAGCUAGCUAGCGACCGUAUAUGACGUAUUCCACAUUCUAGACUCCCCAUUGAAAUUGGAAUAUUUGAAAUAACAAAUAUUAAAAUCCGAAAGCAACACCAGAAGAGAAUUGGUUGCGGAGAGAGCCAGGCGGAGGAAGAAGCAGAGCAAUGGCAUGCAUUGAAAACGGAAUUGGAAAUUGAGAAUCGGAACGGAAAAGGAGGAAAUGGAAGAAAUGGAAGGAGUCUCUACAGAGUUAUUAACUAUCUUUUAGUCGCCAGCUAUACAACGCCUAGUUGUCGCCCUAACAGUCCCCAGAGUCUCCACUUCCUCCCUCCCCCCGCAAAUAAACAAAGGUCGGCGAUUCGCAAUCGCUCUCUCGCCCACCAUUUAUACGCAGAAUGCGGCGGGAAAAUCGAAUUCAUUGAGGAGUGGAGAGUGGAAUUAAUUAAAUAUUUUUAUUUUUGUUUUUGGCUAGCACACUCUCUAGCAUAGCAUGCACUUGAACUACGGGCGGGCAAACAUGAAAUUUAUUUAAAUAAAUAAAAUCCUCAAGUGACACACACACAUACACUAACACAGGCAUGUUGCAGCUGCUGGUCCGAUGGGUCAGAAGCGUGUGGGCCAGAGCGAGACAACAGUAGGGCCAAAUGCAAAUAUGGCGGCAUAUCGACACACACCAGCGGCAGAGCGAGCGAGAGAGGGCGCAAGAGCGAUUUGUUGUUGCCGUCGCUGUGUAUCUGCAAGUAUGCCGACACAUCCAAGAGAUACUGGUAGAGUCGAGUGGAGUGGAGAGGAGAGGAGAGGAGCAAGCUAGGUUAAUAAAUCGUGCUAAUAGUGGCACGAAUUUAAAGCCGGUUUACAUGGCAACAACAGCACUGCCAGCCAGCAUGCAUCAUGCAGCAUGUAGCAUGCAGCAGUGCGCAUCUCACCCAAAAAGCAUCAAUGAAAUCGAUUCGAGGUUCGAGAGAGCCAGCCAGCCAGCCAGCCAGCCAACAAGCCAUCUAGCCUAGCCGCUUUGCAUUGCUUUUUCCGCUUAUUUACGAUAAACAACGUCUCCUUCAAGUAAACAAACGAAUUGCGUUGCCGUUGCCGUUGCCGUUGCCUAUUUACGCGCCAAACCAGAAAGUGCAACAACUCUUGGGCUGCAAACACAAUAAAAGACGAAACAAUAACAAACCGAAUCACAGAAGUAGCCGGGCCGGCAACUACUAACCACUGACCCAAACCGAACGAGAGUAGAUGCGAAUCUCAAAGAUGCAGAGAUGCAGAUGCACAGAUACCAGAUGCAAAUCGAUCGCAGCUGACCCCAAGACUUCCAAAAAAGAAAGGGUUGCACUUCCCGAAGAUGCAGCUCAUUAGCAGCUGUCUUUUGGUCCUCUGUCGAGGGGUGGCUAUGACUAUAUACCCUGUCUAGAUUCCCUAUUCCCAAAAA